rnacentral:rRNA from 1 species
AGUGAACGCUGGCGGUAGGCCUAACACAUGCAAGUCGAACGGCAGCACAGUAAGAGCUUGCUCUUACGGGUGGCGAGUGGCGGACGGGUGAGGAAUACAUCGGAAUCUACUUUUUCGUGGGGGAUAACGUAGGGAAACUUACGCUAAUACCGCAUACGACCUACGGGUGAAAGCAGGGGAUCUUUGGACCUUGCGCGAUUGAAUGAGCCGAUGUCGGAUUAGCUAGUUGGCGGGGUAAAGGCCCACCAAGGCGACGAUCCGCAGCUGGUCUGAGAGGAUGAUCAGCCACACUGGAACUGAGACACGGUCCAGACUCCUACGGGAGGCAGCAGUGGGGAAUAUUGGACAAUGGGCGCAAGCCUGAUCCAGCCAUACCGCGUGGGUGAAGAAGGCCUUCGGGUUGUAAAGCCCUUUUGUUGGGAAAGAAAAGCAGCAGGUUAAUACCCCGCUGUUCUGACGGUACCCAAAGAAUAAGCACCGGCUAACUUCGUG